CUUUCAGGUCGGCCAGAAUGCAAACAACAUUUCCAGGAAUCCUUGACUGAAUCUUCCAAACAGUCUCUUGAGGCAUGUUCCUCUCCAUCAAACACCACUGUAGAUGUAUGUGAGUACAUAUCUUGUUAUCUUGUUAAAUUGUUAUCUUGUUAAUUUGAUUGUUCACUGAGGUUAUUGCUGCCUACCCCAAAUGGCUGCAAGUUAAAAAUCAAAUCUUUGAUUUAAUAAUGUCAUUGUUUAGUUUUCUCCUGUGCAUUAAUUGAUUAUACAUGUACAUACAAUGCAUUCUUUUGAAUUUUACCCUUUAAAAAUAUAUACAAGUCGUACAAAGACCAUCUGUUCAUUCAUAUUCUUUGCCUUAUUGAAACCACGGUCCACAGAAUAAUGUUGUAGAAAGAAAAAGACAAAUGGCAUCAAGAGAUCUCAACAUUGUUCAUAGACUUUUUGGCAUUUUUUCAACAGAAAUACUCUACAAUAAUAUUCCUUGAUCAUUCUACUUCUAUCCAUUUCCCUCACUCUCCCACCACUGUUAUUGUCUUCGCAAACUCUCCCCAUUUCUUACAUCAUUAGACUUCUAGAAAAAUUAAGAAACCUAUGCUAUAUAUGUGUCAAGCACUGGAGAAAGAAUUCUGAACCAGAGAUUUGAGCCUCAUGCAGCUUUUAUUCUGGUGAGCAUGAUUAUAUACAUAUAAGUAAAUAACUAAUAAAAAUGAAGGAAGAUAAAGGAUUAGAGAGCAACUAGUGAGUUAAGUGACUUCUGGGACCCCAAGGGAUGGGGGACCAAGAAAUGUCUGGCAAUUUUGGAGUCCAAACAAAGAGCACUAGUGAGAAACCCUCCCUCCUUUGCAGGGAAAUGACUUCCCUGGCCUUAAAAAUGCCAAGAAGAAGCUGGAGAGAUGAAGUGCCAAGCAAUCUUCCCCUAACGCUGGAAGUAUAAGGAAAUCCACACUGCUUGUGACUUACCAUGGGGACCUUGCGGGGCAUGGCAAAGCAUUUCUUCCUAUACUAUCAGUCUACGGGGUACAGAUGGCCUUGACUUCUACUACUUUUGAGACUCCUCCAUUCGGCCUGAACCUCGACAUUCCCAGAAGGAAAAUAACAACCUAUUUAAAAGCUCCUUACAUUCAAAGAGUGACCAGAAAAAUCAGAAUGCAUAUCCAGAGAAGUAAAGCCACUGAGGGAUAUAGAGAAUUCAAGUAAAAAUAAUUAACAUUUUAGAGGAGAAUCAAGUGUGGCACAUACCCAGAUAAAGAAUAUUUGGUGAUUAACUACAUGAUUUCUCAACCAAACAGUUCUGUAAAUGAUUUGAAGGAGAGGAUAUUUACUACUCAUGUGUGUGUCCUGGAAGAUCAAGUACAAAAAAAUAAAAUCACAAAGCACAGAAAAACAAUUACAAAGAAAUAAAAACAAUGAGGGGGGAAAAUGAAUCUUGGAGGAUAUAAUGAGAUAGUAAAAGAUGUACCAGUAAGAGAAAAAGACAGGUGGAGGAUUGCCAAUAAAAAUAAAAUAAUAGAACUUAUUUUUUUCUCAUUGAAAAACCUAAUAUCCCAGAUUAAAUGGUUUCUGUGAGGUCCAGGUCAGACUGAUAAGAAAUAAUAUAGACACCUAGGACAUUCUGUAAAACUCCUGAAUUCUAAGGAAGGGGGAAAACAUGACAAGAUUCAAGG